rnacentral:lncRNA from 1 species
UUGAUUUUGUGAUACCUUCUCUGUCACUUACAAUGUUCCCACAUUAAAGACAAAGGAUGCAAAGAAGGUACUAGAACAGUUAAAUAUCUUUGCUGAUGAAGACAUAGAUGCAGCUGCAGAGGCCCUAAAUGAUGUAAUCUAGGAUGAGGAUUUUCCAUCUCUGGCCCAGAAGGAAUAUUAUUAGUGUUGAGUUGAGAACAGCACUAGUAGUACUAUGUCCUUAUACUACACAUAACAUGUGCAGCAGCAUGGAAGAGCAAAAGAUCCUCCUUUCAAGUGUAUGGAAUAUUCGACAUCUUCGAUGCAUUGGUUGAGAUUGUAUUCCUUACUAUAUUAGCAUACUGGUAGUCUGGUACUCGCAAUACUUGUUGUUUGCUGCAGUUUGAUUUGGCAAUUUAUAUCAUUUCACCCCCAGCAGCACUGUUCAAGAUUCGAUGGGAAAAAUAUGUGCAUGCACAUUUAAACUUUACCAAAGCAUGUAAUAUGUAUGAUAUUCUUUACCAUUUCACUGAUUAGUUAAACAGAUUAUAUUAUCCGUGGCCAUGCGGUUUUUGAAUAAAGUUGGGAACCAACCAACGGGCAGUUCACAUGCCUUUAAAAAUAUAGAUCGAUCUACA